CCUUGGUAACAGUGAAUGGUUGUCAUGGUGACUGAGGACGCGCCUGCUGUACCCGGCGGGUUGGAGCACAGAGAAUCGUGAGGCUUUUUGUGCGGGGGACGGCCUCUGGAUCGUGAACGGUAACAAAAACAAAAUGCUGCCAAUUGAUUCGGAAGAUUUGUUGUUUCGAAUAAAGGGAGGAGUUCAGUUGGAAGGAGUUAUCAACAAAACUGAUGAAGAAGGAAUUAAAGCAGCCUUUCAGGAAGCCAUUAAUGAACUGAUUUCUAAGGUAAAUUCAAAGGCUUUCAUCAUAAGUGGCGGUCCAAUAUUUAUGUGGCCCAAAAUCCA